rnacentral:SRP_RNA from 1 species
GCUGCAGCAUGGACCACAGAGAUCCAGAU